rnacentral:rRNA from 1 species
AGUGAACGCUGGCGGUAGGCCUAACACAUGCAAGUCGAACGGCAGCACAGGAGAGCUUGCUCUCUGGGUGGCGAGUGGCGGACGUGUGAGGAAUACAUCGGAAUCUACUUUUUCGUGGGGGAUAACGUAGGGAAACUUACGCUAAUACCGCAUACGACCUACGGGUGAAAGCAGGGGAUCUUCGGACCUUGCGCGAUUGAAUGAGCCGAUGUCGGAUUAGCUAGUUGGCGGGGUAAAGGCCCACCAAGGCGACGAUCCGUAGCUGGUCUGAGGGGGUGAUCAGCCACACUGGAACUGAGACACGGUCCAGACUCCUACGGGAGGCAGCAGUGGGGAAUAUUGGACAAUGGGCGCAAGCCUGAUCCAGCCAUACCGCGUGGGUGAAGAAGGCCUUCGGGUUGUAAAGCCCUUUUGUUGGGAAAGAAAUCCAGCUGGUUAAUACCCGGUUGGGAUGACGGUACCCAAAGAAUAAGCACCGGCUAACUUCGUGCCAGCCGCCGCAGUAA